UACAGAGGAUGCAAGCGUUAUCCGGAAUGAUUGGGCGUAAAGCGUCUGUAGGUGGCUUUUUAAGUCCGCCGUCAAAUCCCAGGGCUCAACCCUGGAAUGCCGGUGGAAACUGUCGAGCUCGAGUCCGGAAGAGGCGAGUGGAAUUCCUGGUGUAGCGGUGAAAUGCGCAGAUAUCAGGAGGAACACCAAUGGCGAAGGCAGCUCGCUGGGACGGUACUGACACUGAGACGCGAAAGCGUGGGGAGCAAACAGG
rnacentral:rRNA from 1 species